CGUUCGCCCUGGGAGACGUCCCAAGAAGAACAGGGGAGGAUCAGGGACGCCUGGUGGACCCCUUUGAAGGCCAAGAGACCAUUUGGGGUUGCGAGAUCGUGGGUUAGAGUCCCACCUCGUGCCCAGUUGCGAGAUCGUGGGUUCGAGUCCCACCUCGUGUUUUGUUGCGAGAUCGUGGGUUCGAGUCCCACCUCGUGUUUUGUUGCGAGAUCGUGGGUUCGAGUCCCACCUCGCGUCUGGUCACGGGAUCGUGGGUUCGAGUCCCACCUCGUGUUUUGUUGCAAGAUCGUGGGUUCGAGUCCCACCUCGUGCAGAGGGUCUCAAUUGGCCGGCCUUAGAGAGGCCAUCUGAUUCUUCUGGUUUCUUUUUUGUCUUAGUCUCGUGUCCGCUCUUGUUGUGACUACUGUUUUUCUAGAAAUGGGACAAUCUGUGUCCACUCCCCUUUCUCUGACUCUGGUUCUGUCGCUUGGUAAUUUUGUUUGUUUACGUUUGUUUUUGUGAGUCGUCUAUGUUGUCUGUUAAGAGAUAG
rnacentral:lncRNA from 1 species